GUGGGGAAUCUUGCGCAAUGGGCGAAAGCCUGACGCAGCCAUGCCGCGUGAAUGAUGAAGGCCUUAGGGUUGUAAAGAUCUUUCAGUGGGGAAGAUAAUGACUGUACCCACAGAAGAAGCCCCGGCUAACUCCGUGCCAGCAGCCGCGGUAAUACGGAGGGGGCUAGCGUUGUUCGGAAUUACUGGGCGUAAAGCGCACGUAGGCGGAACAGAAAGUCAGAGGUGAAAGCCCAGGGCUCAACAUUGGAAUUGCCUUUGAUACUGGCUGUCUUGAGUUUGGGAGAGGUGAGUGGAACUCCGAGUGUAGAGGUGAAAUUCGUAGAUAUUCGGAAGAACACCAGUGGCGAAGGCGACUCACUGGCCCAAUACUGACGCUGAGGCGCGAAAGCGUGGGGAGCAAACAGGAUUAGAAACCCGUGUAGUCC
rnacentral:rRNA from 1 species